GCUGUGUCCCAAUUCCUAGGACGCAUCCUUCGAAGGCUGCAUUCGAAGGAUGCGUCGACGCCGAUUGCGUCACAGCGUCGCGCCAAGUGCUGUCCCAAUUCCAAGGGUCCUUCAAAUGCGGCCUACGAAUGCAGCCUUCUUUUCCCGGAUUUGAAGGAUGCAUCGGCUGUAUCCUUCACGGCCCAACGUAUCCCAAGAUCCUUCACGGCCCAACGUAUCCCUCCCAAGAUUAAUUGCGCAUUCAAUCAAUGGAGAUGGCGGAGAAUGGCGAUUUAGGUUCUGCAUUUAAAUGACAAUUCUGGAGAAAAUAGGCCUGCAGGGGAAGGUGACUCCCCUGCAGGCAAAGAAAAAAUGGGACAAUUUAAAAAAAAUAUCUAUAGAUUGCAAGUAUCCAGGGUCAGGAGAGGGGGUAGGUGGGAAACCCACUGCUGCCACUUGGCCCUGGUUGGUCCCCAUGGAUGAGGUAUUGGGACAGAGGCAUUCCACCAACCCCCCUGUCCUAAUUGCCUCCAUCCCUGAGAACACACCAGGGCCAAGUACAGCAAGUACAGCAGUGGUGGAUCAGGAGGUGGAGGACAAGGAUCAGGAGGAGGAAAGACAGCGAGGGCCAAGGUCCAGAAAGAGGGACAGAGAUGAAGACAUGUUCCAGAGUCGCUCACUAUCUUCCGAAAAGGACUCAAGACUCACCUGUUCAGAGUCCACCUCGACUGCAUAGCCACCCUCCCGGCAACCAUUGUACACUGUGUUGUAUUGUAUUGUAUUAUAGUACUUAACUGUGUAGCAACUGCAGUAGCUGCUAUCAUGGCUGUAACACGGGGAAUUGAUUAGCCUAGCGAUUGUGGUACUUGCACUUGGUUCUAUGAACAUCCUUUCUGUACCGACAGCGAUAUAUUGAUGCACUUCUUAUGACAAAUGUACUUAUUGUAAAUCGCUUUGGAUUAAAGAUUAAAGCGUCUGCUAAAUGCCCUAAAUGUAAAUGUAAAAUGUAAAUGUUCCAGUUAAUAAAAGAGGACAUGAGGCUACAAAGGGGGGAGGCAGAGGAGAGAAGAGCCCAGGGAAAGAAUGGAUAGGUUUUUCUCAUUUUUGGAGCGUUUGGUGGACAAAUAACUUAUGUUCUGUUGUAUUUAAAAGAUUGUUUAUUAUUAUUUACAUAUUUAUUGAAACUAACUUAUUUAACUAACUUUUUUGAUUAACUAUUUAUUAAAACCCUUACUAACUUUUUUGUAUUGACUAAUGUAUUCGUAUAUAACUUAUA
ensembl:lncRNA